GAUGAACGCUGGCGGCGUGCCUAAUACAUGCAAGUCGAGCGAACGGACGAGAAGCUUGCUUCUCUGAUGUUAGCGGCGGACAGGUGAGUAACACGUGGAUAACCUACCUAUAAGACUGGGAUAACUUCGGGAAACCGGAGCUAAUACCGGAUAAUAUUUUGAACCGCAUGGUUCAAAAGUGAAAGACGGUCUUGCUGUCACUUAUAGAUGGAUCCGCGCUGCAUUAGCUAGUUGGUAAGGUAACGGCUUACCAAGGCAACGAUGCAUAGCCGACCUGAGAGGGUGAUCGGCCACACUGGAACUGAGACACGGUCCAGACUCCUACGGGAGGCAGCAGUAGGGAAUCUUCCGCAAUGGGCGAAAGCCUGACGGAGCAACGCCGCGUGAGUGAUGAAGGUCUUCGGAUCGUAAAACUCUGUUAUUAGGGAAGAACAUAUGUGUAAGUAACUGUGCACAUCUUGACGGUACCUAAUCAGAAAGCCACGGCUAACUACGUGCCAGCAGCCGCGGUAAUACGUAGGUGGCAAGCGUUAUCCGGAAUUAUUGGGCGUAAAGCGCGCGUAGGCGGUUUUUUAAGUCUGAUGUGAAAGCCCACGGCUCAACCGUGGAGGGUCAUUGGAAACUGGAAAACUUGAGUGCAGAAGAGGAAAGUGGAAUUCCAUGUGUAGCGGUGAAAUGCGCAGAGAUAUGGAGGAACACCAGUGGCGAAGGCGACUUUCUGGUCUGUAACUGACGCUGAUGUGCGAAAGCGUGGGGAUCAAACAGGAUUAGAUACCCUGGUAGUCCACGCCGUAAACGAUGAGUGCUAAGUGUUAGGGGGUUUCCGCCCCUUAGUGCUGCAGCUAACGCAUUAAGCACUCCGCCUGGGGAGUACGACCGCAAGGUUGAAACUCAAAGGAAUUGACGGGGACCCGCACAAGCGGUGGAGCAUGUGGUUUAAUUCGAAGCAACGCGAAGAACCUUACCAAAUCUUGACAUCCUUUGACAACUCUAGAGAUAGAGCUUUCCCCUUCGGGGGACAAGGUGACAGGUGGUGCAUGGUUGUCGUCAGCUCGUGUCGUGAGAUGUUGGGUUAAGUCCCGCAACGAGCGCAACCCUUAAGCUUAGUUGCCAUCAUUAAGUUGGGCACUCUAAGUUGACUGCCGGUGACAAACCGGAGGAAGGUGGGGAUGACGUCAAAUCAUCAUGCCCCUUAUGAUUUGGGCUACACACGUGCUACAAUGGACAAUACAAAGGGCAGCGAAACCGCGAGGUCAAGCAAAUCCCAUAAAGUUGUUCUCAGUUCGGAUUGUAGUCUGCAACUCGACUACAUGAAGCUGGAAUCGCUAGUAAUCGUAGAUCAGCAUGCUACGGUGAAUACGUUCCCGGGUCU
rnacentral:rRNA from 1 species